GAGCUGCUGAGCAAGCGCCUUGCACACUCCCGCCGCUCAGAGUGCACUUGCAGCUGCAGGAAAAAGUCCAGCAUGUGGGGGUGGAAGGGCGGGGGGGCUAAAGAGUGGAUCACGGCCCUGAGGAAACCGUCGUUUCAAAUUGGCAAACUCGUGGAUCGCAUCAGCAACAGAAUAUUUAGUACGUCCGGAUACACAUUCCUCAAUAUCGUCUGGACAUAGCUGGGUUUGUAUGAAGAGGUGAAGUCUACUGUCUGAAAGCAAUACUGGACACUGGAGGAUCCUUUUAAAAAAAAAAAAGCAAGCAGAAAUUUGAACUGCUUUCCAAGAUCAUAUUUGCAGUAUUAUCUCACUUCUAAAUAUUAUCUUUAAGUUACACCUAAUGCAGUUUUGAAUGCAGUAUAAAUACUACAUGAUUGAGCAUGUGCUAUUUAUUAAAUUAUUUUGAAUUUUAGGUGAGUAAAAACAUGAAGCUAAUAGUUAAGAACAUCUGUUAUAAGAAUAAUUCCAAGGGCACUCCCCCCCUCCCAAUUUAACCAUCUGUUCUACCAUGUGGAUCAAUUACUUUUUUUGACUGGGUUGAGGGAGCUGGUGGUGGGGAUAACAUCCUGUUAUGGAAACUGGUUCACAAUCAAUAACCUUGUAUACAUUUUAUUUUUAAAAAAACACAUCAAAGUAAAAGGUACUAUACAAAGUUUGCUAUGCAAGUUCAAAUGCCUGUGUAAAACAGAAAUUAUUUAUCUGAACAAAUACAAAUGUUGGUAUUUUGUGUGUGUGUAUACACUACA